GCCAGGGUAUGGUGGCGCAUGCCUGUAAUCCCAACUACUUGGGAGGCUGAGGUGGAAGAAUCACUUGAACCCAGGAGGCAGAGGUUGCAGUGAGCCAAGAUCGUACCACUGCACUCCAGCCUGGGUGACAGAGUGAGAUUCUGUCUCAA
rnacentral:SRP_RNA from 1 species